rnacentral:rRNA from 1 species
GACGGAGGAUGCAAGCGUUAUCCGGAAUUAUUGGGCGUAAAGCGUCCGCAGGUGGCACCUCAAGUCUGCUGUCAAAGACCGGGGCUUAACCCCAGAAAGGCAGUGGAAACUGAAGUGCUAGAGUGCAGUAGGGGUAGAGGGAAUUCCCGGUGUAGCGGUGAAAUGCGUAGAGAUCGGGAAGAACAUCGGUGGCGAAAGCGCUCUGCUGGACUGCAACUGACGCUGAGGAGCGAAAGCGUGGGGAGCGAACAGG